CGAAACAACUGCAUUAUUGCCAGGGGGCUAGUUUCAUGUCGCUUGGGACGGCAGCCAUCAGCCUCGCGGAGGUGCGCGCCGUUCAAGAUGGCGUGGUGAACGACGUACGCGAAGAUGGGCGCACGCUGCUGCAGCGCCGGCCGGUAUACGUCACGUCCCGAACAAGCCCUUCUUCCCCGGCUACUGCGGCUGCCGGUGAUGCGCAGGAGAGUUACAACGGCAGCUAUGUGGAAGUGAACGCCAGCGGCACGGUCGUGUUGGCGGCUGCCACACCUUCGGUCGUGGAUGGCUGCGCCACUGCUGGCCCGAACUCUAGCGCUGACACAGAGCAUGAACGCGCAUCAGACACAGGCAGGGGCAGGCUGCACAUCACCAUUGAUGCCGUGCCGCACGUGCUGGACACGUACGCAAGCGCUGUUGGCGGCCGCAACGUGGGCCGCUACCGCCGCGACUAUCUUGCCUUUUUGGCCUCGACUAUGCGGCAGGUGUUCGGCGCCGCGCAAGUGGAGGUGCAGGAGCAACAGGGCGUGGCGGAGGCGGAGGUAGUGCAGGAGGAGGCGGGCGAAGCCACUGGCGGGGCGUUCACGGCAUCGUCGUCGAGUCCGUCAGCUGGCGCAUCUUGGGCGGCGCCAGCGGCAGGGUGCAGCGGCGACCAUAUGCUGAACGGCUUCCCUGCAGCGGACUUGUACGUUGGCGAGGGCUUCGGCUUCAUGAUUCACGUCGACGUGCACGUCCUGCAAUCCAGCGGUGGCAACCUGUUCACCGCCAUUGCGUACGCCGUCCACGCGGUGCUCCGGUCGCUUCGACUGCCGGCCGUCACCCUGUACAAGGCGCCAGGAGACGUCGCAGGUGUUUCCGUCGAGGUGGAUCGCUCGAAGCCGUAUCGCAAGGCUGUCAGCUGGGCUCAUAUGCCGCUGCUGUGCGUGCUUCUUGUGUCGCCGACUGGUCACUGCGUCGUGGACCCUACCUUACGCGAGGAGUGGGCCAUGCCGCAACAGGUGCAUGUGGCGGCUGGCGCGAACGGCCAGGUGAUGUACUUCCGAUACCAGCAGCUUCCUUCGCGCCGCGGCAACGCGUAUCAGCUGCGGACUGCUGAGCCGUCAUCUGCCACGGAUGGGUGCGCCAGCUACGUGGCACCACCGUCUGCGUUGAGUGUAAACGACUGCUGGUCUAUUUUAUGCGACGCAGUGCACAUCUGUCAGGCAAUGCUGCACGACUGCGAGGAGGCUCUGACCCACGGCGAGAGCGCGUAAUAGCGGAAGAAGGGACAGCAGGCAUAUUGGCGCGCAUGCAGACGUGCUGCACAGCCCGUUACCACUGUGCAGGCGUUUUCUUUUUUCUGUUGCUCUCUGGUUUGUAAAGUAACAUCGCAUAACCGUGCACACACAAACAGACAGUGACACACACUCACGAGGGAUGGGCGCGAAGGAGGAGAAAACGGUACGCGAACUUCGAGGAGAAGGACGGGGGACGGUGAAGGGGGUGGGCGAGCAUGCGCGCACGCAUCGACACACACACGCGCGGCUCUCUGCAUGGCGAAGCGACAGCGCACCGGUCGCAAAGAGGCCAGGUGACCGUGCCAAAAGACACAUCCGUCCGCACGCAGCAUGUACACAUGAGAAGUGUCGUGCGUGUUGACCCCUCAACCCCGACACCGCAAACCACUAAAGGUGCCGCGCCUCACGUUCCGUGCUGCGGCGAUAUGACACUGCCACCACGUACUUCGCACGGCAUCGUCGCUCUUCUCACAUCUCCCCUUUCUCUUCGUGCAACGGUAUCGGCACCCCGCCCUCUCUUUGCUUUCGCAUACGUUUUACGCGCACAUGCACCUGCACGAUAG
rnacentral:misc_RNA from 1 species